AGAGUACUCCUCCGUCCGGAAAUACAUGUCAUCAAAAUGGAUGAAAAUGGAUGUAUCUAGAACUAAAAUACAUCUAGAUAUAUCCAUUUCAAUGACAAGUAUUCCCGGACGGAGGGAGUACUUG
rfam:Triticum aestivum genome assembly, contig: Triticum_aestivum_CS42_TGACv1_scaffold_320248_4BL